UACGUAGGGUGCGAGCGUUAAUCGGAAUUACUGGGCGUAAAGCGUGCGCAGGCGGUUUUGUAAGUCAGGUGUGAAAUCCCCGGGCUUAACCUGGGAAUGGCAUUUGGGACUGCAAGGCUUGAGUGCGGCAGAGGAGACUGGAAUUCCCGGUGUAGCAGUGAAAUGCGUAGAUAUCGGGAGGAAUACCGAUGGCGAAGGCAGGUCUCUGGGCUGACACUGACGCUCAUGCACGAAAGCGUGGGGAGCAAACAGG
rnacentral:rRNA from 1 species